AAUGCAGUAACUUAAAACAAUUUUCAAUAGACAUAAGGGAUAUCAAGACUCUAGCAAUACUGAUCUCAGCAUCAAUUUACCUCCUAAUCAUAGGAUGUGUCCGUAUCUUCGUACUAAUAAAUAGAGUGUCAAAAGAAAUGAAACUUAGAGCAGAGUUGAUGAGCCAGUUAGAUGCAAGAUGAAAAGUGGAGGCAUCAAGCAAUUAUUAAAGCCAAUUUCUAGUGACAUGAGUGCAUUUGUUCAUUUUACAAUUUGGAGUACCUUGCAAUCGGCUACAUCAUUCUUCGGAGAUGGUGUGGGAGUGCAUGUGGAGGGAAUUUUUCACUUAAUCAGAAAGACACUUGGUCUGCUCCUAAAGCAAAGUUCAAGCGACAAUAAAGCCAGGGAAAAAAUUCUCCAUGAAAGAUAACAAAAUGAUCAUGUGCUUUGAAGUUGAGGAUUCUGGUUGUGGAAUUUAUCCAAGUACAUUGGAACCUGUAUUUGAAUGAUUCGAGCAAGCUGAUCCUUUGACAACUCGCUUGUAAGAAGUUUUCACAUCAUUGUCAUAUAUGGGUAAACUUUUUUAGUUAAAUAGCAGAAUACAUGCAUGAAUGAAUGAAUUUACUUCCUGCACACCUUAGAGCUAGUUAGUACCUGAAAAAAGAAAUCUCAUUGUUUCACUAUGCUCAUACUCGGGCAUGGUGGGACUAGCCUUGGACUAUGCAUUGUAUGUACCCUGGUUAGUUCAAAUUUUUUUUUCCUAUUUCAAAAGAAUAAAUUUCAAGAGUUGACAUUUUGAAUUCGCAAGAAAAACAUUUCAAUGUUUAUGUGGCUUGUAAAAAGAAUUAAACUUUUAUCCAAUAGUAAUGAAAAGUAAAAGAUAUAAUGAAUCUAGUACCUAUAAUGGCAAAUGUCAAACCACUGAUUGUCUUUUUUCAUUUACUCUAUUAAGUAUUUUUGUAUAGGAAUUUGCAUGCAAAAGUUGAAACAUUGACUAUAAGGCCUAAUACAAACCUAGUAAGGCAAUAAAAGCAUCAGAGUGCCUGGCCAUCUCUUCUUUCCUUUGAUGCAUACCUACAAUAAUCUUCACUUCUCCUAUUGUUUCUCCAGUUAUCAGUGACAAAAAAAUCAUAUAAAAAAGUUCAAUGUAUUAAAGCCCUCGCUAUGUGUGCAGUUCAA